UGAGUACGAGCUGCUACGGCAGCGAAGUGGGUGAUGUCAUGCUUCCAAGAAAAGCCCUAUACCCGUUAAGGCAUGAUGGCCUGUACCCGAAACCGACACAGGUGGGGUGGUAGAGAAUACCGAGGGGCGCGAGGUAACUCUCUCUAAGGAACUCGGCAAAAUGACCCCGUAACUUCGGGAGAAGGGGUGCCACCGCAAGGUGGUCGCAGUGAAGAGGCCCAGGCGACUGUUUACCAAAAACACAGGUCUCCGCUAAGUCGCAAGACGAUGUAUGGGGGCUGACGCCUGCCCAGUGCCGGAAGGUUAAGGAAGCUGGUCAGCGUAAGCGAAGCUAGCGACUGAAGCCCCGGUGAACGGCGGCCGUAACUAUAACGGUCCUAAGGUAGCGAAAUUCCUUGUCGGGUAAGUUCCGACCCGCACGAAAGGCGUAACGAUCUGGGCGCUGUCUCGGAGAGAGGCUCGGCGAAAUAGAAUUGUCUGUGAAGAUGCGGACUACGUGCACCCGGACAGAAAGACCCUAUGAAGCUUUACUGUAGCUUGGUAUUGUGCUCGGGCUCGGAAUGCGCAGGAUAGGUGGGAGGCUAUGAACCAUUGCUUGUGGGUGAUGGUGAGCCACUGGUGAGAUACCACUCUUUCCGAGCUAGAGUUCUAACAGCCACCCGUUAUCCGGGGGCUGGACAGUAUCAGGUGGGCAGUUUGACUGGGGCGGUCGCCUCCUAAAAGGUAACGGAGGCGCGCAAAGGUUUGCUCAGGCUGGUUGGAAAUCAGCCGACGAGUGUAAAAGCAGAAGCAAGCUUGACUGUGAGACCUACAAGUCGAACAGGGAGGAAACUCGGCUUUAGUGAUCCGACGGUUCUGCGUGAAGGGCCGUCGCUCAACGGAUAAAAGUUACUCUAAGGAUAACAGGCUGAUCUCCCCCAAGAGUUCACAUCGACGGGGAGGUUUGGCACCUCGAUGUCGGCUCAUCGCAACCUGGGGCUGAAGUCGGUCCCAAGGGUUGGGCUGUUCGCCCAUUAAAGCGGUACGCGAGCUGGGUUCAGAACGUCGUGAGACAGUUCGGUCCAUAUCCGGUGCAUGCGCAGGAAUAUUGAGAGGAUUUCUCCCUAGUACGAGAGGACCGGGAGGAACGCACCUCUGGUGUACCAGUUAUCGUGCCAACGGUAAACGCUGGGUAGCCAUGUGCGGAGAGGAUAACCGCUGAAAGCAUCUAAGUGGGAAGCCCACCUCAAGAUGAGUAUUCCCAUGGGGUAACCCAGUAAGGUCACGGGAAGAACACCCGUUGAUAGGCUCUACGUGGAAGCGCAGUAAUGUGUGAAGCGGAGGAGUACUAAUAGACCGAGGGCUUGACC
rnacentral:rRNA from 1 species